AUGGGUCGAGCAUAGAUGGGUCUACCAUAGCGGUAGAGACCCGUGGCAUCUUGGAAACGUCGAUUGGUGGGUUUGAUAUCCUUGUUCUUGGAAUGCUUGUUGAUGUACCUGUAGAUGACCUUCUCUUUAACCUUUUUGGACUGUUUUCCCAGACCUGAUUAGAUAGAGUACGUAAUUAGCUAUUUAAUCAGUUGAAAAUCAGAAGUUAAUUACCAGGCAAUUAAUUAUUAACUCACCUGAUGUUUUCCCUAUAGUGUCCCUUGCACACUGCACUGCUAUGAAGAAGAGGAACAAGAGCAGAAUAUGUCUGCAAGAAUAGCCCAUUUCUGUCACGGAAACUUCAAGCUUUUCGUUUACGUACAUGGCCGGUAUUUAUAGAGAGCUAG
rnacentral:lncRNA from 1 species